UACGGAGGGUGCAAGCGUUAUCCGGAUUCACUGGGUUUAAAGGGUGCGUAGGUGGGUUGGUAAGUCAGUGGUGAAAUCUCCGUGCUUAACAUGGAAACUGCCAUUGAUACUACUGAUCUUGAAUUUUCAGGAGGUAAGCGGAAUAUGUCAUGUAGCGGUGAAAAUGCUUAGAUAUGACAUAGAACACCAAUUGCGAAGGCAGCUUACUACAGGAAAUAUUGACACUGAUGCACGAAAGCGUGGGGAUCAAACAGG
rnacentral:rRNA from 1 species